rnacentral:lncRNA from 1 species
CAAGGCUGGAAAUUAGGUAGUGUCAGUCCUCUGGCCUUGUUCUAUUUCAGCCAAUGCAACUGUGUUGGCUUUUAUGAGUCUUUUACCUUCCCACACAAACUUUAGAAUUACUUCGUUGAUAUCCACAAAGCAACUUGCUGGGAUUUUGAUUGGGAUAGUUUUGAAUCUAUAGAUUAAGUUAGGAAGAAUUGACAUCUUAACAAUAUUUAGUCUUCAUAUUCAUGAACAUGGAUAUCUCUCCAUUUAUUUAGAUAUUUGAUUUCUUUCAUCAAAGUUUUAUAGUUUUCCUCAUAUAGAUUCUGUACACAUUUUCUGAGAUUUAUACCUAAACAUUUCAUUUAGGUAUAAAUAUUUCAUUUAUUUGUGCUAAUGUAAAUGUGUUAUAUUUUUAAUUUGAAAUCCCAUUUACUCAUUGGUGCUAUAUAAGACAGCACUUAACUUUGCCUAUUACUCUUGUAUCCUGCCACCUUGCUACGAUGGUGUAUUAGCUUCAGGAGUUUAUUUUCUUGAUGCUUUGAAAUUUUCUACAUAGACAAUCAUUUCAUCUGCAAAGAAAGUUUUAUUUCUUCCCUCCCAAUUUGUAUGCCUUUUCUUUUCUUAUUGCAUUGACUAGGACGUCCAGUAUGAUAUUGAAUAGGAGUGGUGACAGGGGACAUUCUUACCUUUUACCCAAAAUUAAGGGGACAGCAUCUAGUUCCUCACCACUAAGUAUGAUGUUAGCUGUAGGUUUUUAAAAAAUUUAUUUUUAAUUUUUGUCGGUACAUAGUAGAUGUAUACAUUUAUGGGUGACAUGGUUUAGUUCUCUAUCCCCAUCCAAAUCUCAUGUUGAAUUGUAAAUUUACCUCCUACUUGAAAUGAAAGACAAGAACCCUCAGGACCCGAAGAUGUAUGCUCAGCAGUAUGGGAAGUAUGUACUCAAAGUUCCUCUAAGUGUGUGAGAGGAUGAAGAGCAUAAACCACUGCAGAAUCCUUUCCCCUUGAAGAGCUAAGUUUCUCCCAGGAGACCCCGUCAGGCAACAGGCAUAUGGUUCAGACUCCUCCAUCUUAUGGCCUGUUCCCCCGCUGCAGACCUUCACUAAGCACUGGCUCUGCACCAGGAGUGUGCGGGGCCCUGGCAUGCAGGGGGUUGCAAUUGUGGCGGAUGCCUUGGAGGGAGCUGACUGGGAGUUGAGCACAGAGGGAGGAGCAAAGACCUCCUUCAAAUAGGGUCAUGGCCGGUGCCUGCCUCCUUGGAGUAAGUAGGUCCCCAGCAAGCAGAGGCAGGAACCCGCAGUCACGCCACCCUGGCAGAGUUGUUCUGACCUUUGCCUAGAGCCUCGGUGCUACCUGUGAGCUGGGAUAGUGAUCACAUUCACUUCUAAUAUGAGCUGGUUAAAAGCACAUUAUCAUUGGCCAGGUUUCUCAAUUGCCAAGAGAUGACCUAGUGCUUGUUUAAUACCAGAAAUGAAGCUCAGCAGCAGCUCUUGGGCUGUCCUUCAGCGGCCCCUCACAUGCCCAGGUGUGACCUUCUGGUUAGGGUGGCCUAUGUCACCUCCCUCUCACCUUCUUGAUGUCCACACAGUGCACCUGCUUUUGUCUGCCAUGGGGGAGAGGAGGAGAGGCAGAUCCUUCUGUGCCCUCUGCUCAUGACCUUUUCUGCAGUGGGGUCCGAGGGUGGGCUUAGCUCAGGGACUGGAUGGUGUGUCCUCUCCUAAGCUUAACUUGGCUCUGGGUUCCUUUGUCUUACAGAUGGAACUUAACCAGAAGAAGCUAAGGAAGAGAAGAGAGGAGAGGAGAGAGACAGUGAAGAGGCUGGAAAAGGAGGAAGAGAAGUAUGUUCUUUGGAAUCAAAGUGUUACCUGGAUUCCUACCCAGGAUUUUCCUAUUGUCUCAGGACCUAAAGGGAAAAGACCGGCCAUGGGGCAUGUGAGCCUCUGGGAAAUCUGCCUCAAGCCCAUAAUGCCAUCCGUCUACAGCAGUUGGAACAGUGUAAGAGUCAGACCUCGCCAGAUCCCAAGCGCUGCAACAUGAAGAACAAAACCAAGGUUAAGCCACAGACCAGGCCCCGUGGAGAUUUCGCUGCUUCUAGCCUGACCGUCAGGAUUUGGGUCCUGACCGCUCCCCUGGCUGUUGGGCUGGUCCCAGCUCUGGGCCUCCGUUUUCUCACCCACAGAAUGGGGACGAUACAGGACCUCCCUCAUCAGAGCUGUCACAAGUGGUAAGUGAAUGGGUUCGUGAGAAGCUCUGCAGUGCCUGGCGCAGACCAAGGGCCCCACCGAUGGUGGCUGUGAGUUUUCCCACUAAUGUAUUUUUUGAUAUGUAACAUUUUAAAAUAAAAUUUUCUCUUUUCUUUUUUCCUUCUCCUUUUAGAACCUCAAUUUCCUGAUUCCCUAAGCUCAUGUCUGGUGCUGACUAUUAUCUUAGUGCUGAACUCAAGCUUUCCUCAUAGCUCCUCAGAGCAUUUGAGAAUAACUGGGUGUUUCUGCACCCACAACAUAUUUGUAAAACCAGUCAGGAUAUAUGGUUCAUGAAGCAUUAAUAGAAGAUGUGGUUCUCAAACUUGAGUGGGGCUCAGGGUCCUCUGGGGGGCUUGUGAACACACAGAUCAUGGGUCUCCCCAAGGUCUCUGAUGUUGGAGGUCUGGAUGGGGUCCAAGAGUUUGUUUUUCUGGCCAAUGCCCAGGUGGCCAGAACCACUUUUGGGAACCACACUUUGAGAACCACUGGCACAUAGUAAGGAGGCCUCUUCCAGAGGCCACCAGGGAAGUCACUGUCCUGGAAGGUAAAGAACAUUUGUCCAGGGGAUGUGUUAAUGAAAAGACUCAGUUCUGGGCUCCUGGAGCCAGGUAGGAGAUGAGAACAGACACAAAAGAACUUAAGAAUAAGAAAAUAAGACCAAAGGAGCAUCAAGUGCUUCAAGAGUGCAGCAGUGAUUUUGUUCCAGCUGGGGCAGGAAAACCUGGGGAGGCUCUGCGGUGAGGAACCAUUUGGGCUGGGCGUUGAUGGGUGGCUGAGCACUGCUUGGCGCCUGGCCCUGCAAGUGCGAUGUGGUGGGUCCUGUGUCCCACCUUGAAUCUGUGUCCUGUCCUUGAAUCUGGUGGCUUGUGGCUGCUUAAACCAGUCAGCAGGGCCAGUGCACACUAAUGCCUUGGGUACAAUGCCCAGGGCCUAUGCUUCUAAUGCCAUUGAA